rnacentral:rRNA from 1 species
CUGCGGCAGCGAACGUAUCACCCAAGACAACUUUGCGGAGUUGACGAUUGACGGAGCGAAGCGACGUCAAAGCGUUCAUUAAAGUCGAGUUGGCUUAGGGAUACGUUCGUUGGGUAGGGGAGCGUUCUGUAAGCCAGUGAAGGUGUGUCGUGAGGCAUGCUGGAGGUAUCAGAAGUGCGAAUGCUGACAUAAGUAACGAUAAAGCGGGUGAAAAGCCCGCUCGCCGGAAGACCAAGGGUUCCUGUCCAACGUUAAUCGGGGCAGGGUGAGUCGACCCCUAAGGCGAGGCCGAAAGGCGUAGUCGAUGGGAAACGGGUUAAUAUUCCCGUACUUGGUGUUACUGCGAAGGGGGGACGGAGAAGGCUAUGUUGGCCGGGCGACGGUUGUCCCGGUUUAAGCGUGUAGGUGUGUGUUCCAGGUAAAUCCGGUUCACUUUAACACUGAGGCGUGACGACGAGGCACUACGGUGCUGAAGCAACAAAUGCCCUGCUUCCAGGAAAAGCCUCUAAGCAUCAGGUAACAUCAAAUCGUACCCCAAACCGACACAGGUGGUCAGGUAGAGAAUACCAAGGCGCUUGAGAGAACUCGGGUGAAGGAACUAGGCAAAAUGGUGCCGUAACUUCGGGAGAAGGCACGCUGACACGUAGGUGAAGUGAUUUACUCAUGGAGCUGAAGUCAGUCGAAGAUACCAGCUGGCUGCAACUGUUUAUUAAAAACACAGCACUGUGCAAACACGAAAGUGGACGUAUACGGUGUGACGCCUGCCCGGUGCCGGAAGGUUAAUUGAUGGGGUCAGCGCAAGCGAAGCUCCUGAUCGAAGCCCCGGUAAACGGCGGCCGUAACUAUAACGGUCCUAAGGUAGCGAAAUUCCUUGUCGGGUAAGUUCCGACCUGCACGAAUGGCGUAAUGAUGGCCAGGCUGUCUCCACCCGAGACUCAGUGAAAUUGAACUCGCUGUGAAGAUGCAGUGUACCCGCGGCAAGACGGAAAGACCCCGUGAACCUUUACUAUAGCUUGACACUGAACAUUGAGCCUUGAUGUGUAGGAUAGGUGGGAGGCUUUGAAGUGUGGACGCCAGUCUGCAUGGAGCCGACCUUGAAAUACCACCCUUUAAUGUUUGAUGUUCUAACGUGGACCCGUGAUCCGGGUUGCGGACAGUGUCUGGUGGGUAGUUUGACUGGGGCGGUCUCCUCCUAAAGAGUAACGGAGGAGCACGAAGGUUGGCUAAUCCUGGUCGGACAUCAGGAGGUUAGUGCAAUGGCAUAAGCCAGCUUGACUGCGAGCGUGACGGCGCGAGCAGGUGCGAAAGCAGGUCAUAGUGAUCCGGUGGUUCUGAAUGGAAGGGCCAUCGCUCAACGGAUAAAAGGUACUCCGGGGAUAACAGGCUGAUACCGCCCAAGAGUUCAUAUCGACGGCGGUGUUUGGCACCUCGAUGUCGGCUCAUCACAUCCUGGGGCUGAAGUAGGUCCCAAGGGUAUGGCUGUUCGCCAUUUAAAGUGGUACGCGAGCUGGGUUUAGAACGUCGUGAGACAGUUCGGUCCCUAUCUGCCGUGGGCGCUGGAGAACUGAGGGGGGCUGCUCCUAGUACGAGAGGACCGGAGUGGACGCAUCACUGGUGUUCGGGUUGUCAUGCCAAUGGCACUGCCCGGUAGCUAAAUGCGGAAGAGAUAAGUGCUGAAAGCAUCUAAGCACGAAACUUGCCCCGA